UACAGACAGACGGACAGACUGUCCAACUGGACAGACAGGCAAAGCUCGACACUUGAGCUUUCAACUCUGGUGGACAAAUAACAAUUGUGACAAUUUCAAGAAAAGAAUUUUAACCAUGGUGUAAAAAAUAAUCGAACAUUUCUUUAUUGGCGCAUGCAAGAGUUGUUAGCCAUGUAGUGUAAAAUACAAAUAUAUAUUGUGUUACAUAGUAUCACAAUAUUGUAACAAUCAAUUUCUAACAAUCAGUUUCUAAAGUAUAAAGAGUCUCUGAUAUAGGCUAUAAACAAAUUUUUUUUUUUUAAAUCUGAUUCGGAAAAAAAAUCGCUUUUUGAUUUAGAAAUGCUGAUCUUUAUUUUAUUAAUCAUCACAGAAGAAAAAAGUUGAAUUAUUAAUUGUAUAUGGUACGAAAAAUCAUAUUUUUUCCUCAGAAUUUAUUUCCUUUCGCCAAAUUCCGGAAACUCGCAAUUCAGAAACUCUGAUGUAGGCCUAUAUUGGUUUUAUAUUUACUUUUUGUUCCUAAACAAAAAUGGCGACCAGAGUAGGUGGGCUACUGACCUCUCGACUAAAAACACUCUGCACUUCCAAUAAUAACAAGACACAAUUGAUAAAUCUUGUACAGAAACGAACAAUGGUUUGUAAGGAAACGGGAGCGCUGCUACCUAAACCACAGAAAACCCAGUUUGGUCUGAUAAAAGUAGGCAUUACAACGGCCCCAUUUCUGACGUUAGGAACGAUCAUGGGAAGGGAAGGAGCUUCAUUUCUGGAAGAGAGCGAAAUUUUUGUUCCUGACGAUGACGACGACUAACUCACUCUAAAUAACUGAUUAUUGUAUUCCAAGUAAUGGUGGAUCACUAGGAACCCAAACAGUGACAUGUACACAAAGUAGACGACUAGAAGUUUCGACUUUCGGGUGUACUUGUUUAUUUCUGGACUCUCCUUAUCUUAAUGUGUAUCGUGCCUAUUGUCAUACUUUGAAUGGUCUAACUCAAUCUCCUUCUUUUACUAUCAAAAUAUGCUUUGUUGUGAUGACUUAUUUAUUAAAGGUAUGUUUUUAAA